AUUAGUUAGUUGGUGAGGUAACGGCUCACCAAGGCGAUGACGGGUAGCCGGUCUGAGAGGAUGUCCGGCCACACUGGAACUGAGACACGGUCCAGACACCUACGGGUGGCAGCAGUCGAGAAUCAUUCACAAUGGGGGAAACCCUGAUGGUGCGACGCCGCGUGGGGGAAUGAAGGUCUUCGGAUUGUAAACCCCUGUCAUGUGGGAGCAAAUUAAAAAGAUAGUACCACAAGAGGAAGAGACGGCUAACUCUGUGCCAGCAGCCGCGGUAAUACAGAGGUCUCAAGCGUUGUUCGGAAUCACUGGGCGUAAAGCGUGCGUAGGCUGUUUCGUAAGUCGUGUGUGAAAGGCGCGGGCUCAACCCGCGGACGGCACAUGAUACUGCGAGACUAGAGUAAUGGAGGGGGAACCGGAAUUCUCGGUGUAGCAGUGAAAUGCGUAGAUAUCGAGAGGAACACUCGUGGCGAAGGCGGGUUCCUGGACAUUAACUGACGCUGAGGCACGAAGGCCAGGGGAGCGAAAGGGAUUAGAUACCCCUGUAGUCCUGGCAGUAAACGGUGCACGCUUGGUGUGCGGGGAAUCGACCCCCUGCGUGCCGGAGCUAACGCGUUAAGCGUGCCGCCUGGGGAGUACGGUCGCAAGAUUAAAACUCAAAGAAAUUGACGGGGACCCGCACAAGCGGUGGAGUAUGUGGCUUAAUUCGAUGCAACGCGAAGAACCUUACCUGGGCUUGACAUGUAAUGAACAACAUGUGAAAGCAUGCGACUCUUCGGAGGCGUUACACAGGUGCUGCAUGGCCGUCGUCAGCUCGUGUCGUGAGAUGUUUGGUUAAGUCCAGCAACGAGCGCAACCCCUGUUGCCAGUUACCAGCACGUGAAGGUGGGGACUCUGGCGAGACUGCCCAGAUCAACUGGGAGGAAGGUGGGGACGACGUCAGGUCAGUAUGGCCCUUAUGCCCAGGGCUGCACACGUACUACAAUGCCCAGUACAGAGGGGGCCGAAGCCGCGAGGCGGAGGAAAUCCUGAAAACUGGGCCCAGUUCGGACUGUAGGCUGCAACCCGCCUACACGAAGCCGGAAUCGCUAGUAAUGGCGCAUCAGCUACGGCGCCGUGAAUACGUUCCCGGGUCUUGUACACACCGCCCGUCACAUCAUGGAAGCCGGUCGCACCCGAAGUAUCUGAAGCCAACCGCAAGGAGGCAGGGUCCUAAGGUGAGACUGGUAACUGGGAUGAAGUCGUAACAAGGUAGCCGUAGGGGAACCUGCGGCUG
rnacentral:rRNA from 1 species